GAUGAACGCUGGCGGCGUGGCUAAUACAUGCAAGUCGAGCGAACAGACGGGGAGCUUGCUCCUCUGACGUUAGCGGCGGACGGGUGAGUAACACGUGGAUAACCUACCUAUAAGACUGGGAUAACUUCGGGAAACCGGAGCUAAUACCGGAUAAUAUAUUGAACCGCAUGGUUCAAUAGUGAAAGACGGUUUUGCUGUCACUUAUAGAUGGAUCCGCGCCGCAUUAGCUAGUUGGUAAGGUAACGGCUUACCAAGGCAACGAUGCGUAGCCGACCUGAGAGGGUGAUCGGCCACACUGGAACUGAGACACGGUCCAGACUCCUACGGGAGGCAGCAGUAGGGAAUCUUCCGCAAUGGGCGAAAGCCUGACGGAGCAACGCCGCGUGAGUGAUGAAGGUCUUCGGAUCGUAAAACUCUGUUAUUAGGGAAGAACAAAUGUGUAAGUAACUAUGCACGUCUUGACGGUACCUAAUCAGAAAGCCACGGCUAACUACGUG
rnacentral:rRNA from 1 species